rnacentral:rRNA from 1 species
CCCUUAGAUGUCCUGGGCUGCACGCGCGCUACACUGACGAGCUCAACGAGCUUAUCACCUUGGCAGAGAUGUCUGGGUAAUCUUUUGAAAGUUCGUCGUGCUGGGGAUAGAUGAUUGUAAUUAUUCGUCUUGAACGAGGAAUUCCUAGUAAGUGUGAGUCAUCAGCUCGCGCUGAUUACGUCCCUGCCCUUUGUACACACCGCCCGUCGCUCCUACCGAUUGAAUGGUCCGGUGAGGUUCUCGGAUUUUUUCUGUUGUUUGGUUCGCUAAACGAUUGAAGAGAGAAGUUACCCAAACCUUACCAUUUAGAGGAAGGAGAAGUCGUAACA